UACGGGGGGAGCAAACGUUGUUCGGAAUCACUGGGCUUAAAGGGCGCGUAGGCGGGCAGGCAAGUCGAAGGUGAAAUCCCACGGCUCAACCGUGGAAGUGCCCCCGAUACUGCCUGUCUCGAGGGAGAUAGGGGCGUGCGGAACUUCCGGUGGAGCGGUGAAAUGCGUUGAUAUCUACAGGAACUCCGGUGGCGAAAGCGGCGUGCUGGACCUCUUCUGACGCUGAGGCACGAAAGCUAGGGGAGCAAACGGG
rnacentral:rRNA from 1 species